rnacentral:rRNA from 1 species
AGAGUUUGAUUAUGGCUCAGAACGAACGCUGGUGGCGUGUCUUAUACAUGCAAGUCGAGCGAGGCAGCAAUGCCGAGCGGCGAACGGGUGAGUAACGCGUAAGCAAUCUGCCCCAUAUCAGGAAAUACCCGUGCCAACGCGCGGUUAAUGUCCAGGAGAGUGGCCUUCCGCAUGGAAGGUUGACUAGAGAUUUAUCGGUAUGGGAUGAGCUUGCGUCCGAUUAGCUAGUUGGCGGGGCAACGGCCCACCAAGGCGACGAUCGGUAGCCGGCCUGAGAGGGUGAUCGGCCACAUUGGGACUGAGAUACGGCCCAGACUCCUACGGGAGGCAGCAGUAGGGAAUACUGCACAAUGGGGGAAACCCUGAUGCAGCAACGCCACGUUGUGGGAAGAAGCAUUUCGGUGUGUAAACCACUGUCAUGAGGAAUAGCCGCCUCGGACGGACUUGAUGUACCUUGAGAGGAAGCACCGGCAAACUUCGUGCCAGCAGCCGC